ACUCAAAUGAAUUGACGGGGACUUGCACAAGCGGUGGAACAUGUGGUUCAAUUCGACGCUAAACGAAGAACCUUACCAGGGUUAGAAAUCCAUUCGAAGACCGGCAGAAACGUCGGUCGCCGCAAGGCGGAUGGACAGGUGCUGCAUGGCUGUCGUCAGUUCGUGGUUUGAACUGUUCCCUUCAGUGGGGUAACGAACGCAACCCCUGUUGCCUGUUACAAGUGUCAGGCGAGACCGCCCAGCCCAUAGAUCGCAAUUUUUGUGAUUUACGGGCUGGGAGGAAGGUGGGGAUGACGCCAAGUCAGCAUGGCCCUCUGAUACCCUGGGCUACACACGUGUUACAAUGGCGCGUACAACGGGACGCAAUAUCGCAAGAUGGAGCAAACCCUCAUAAGCGCGCCUCAGUUCGGAUAGGAGUCUGCAACUCGACUCCUUGAAGCCGGAAUCGCUAGUAAUCGCGGGUCAGCUAUACCGCGGUGAAUACGUUCUCAAGUCUUGUACACACCGCCCGU
rnacentral:rRNA from 1 species